rnacentral:rRNA from 1 species
UAUCACUAACGAGUAGCAAUCUGACCCUCUUCGGCGUCCGAGUUGUAACAUUGAAGAAGGUAUCUUUGGUUUUGGCUCUUGUCUAUGUUCCUUGACAACAGGACGUCACAGAGGGUGAGAAUCCCGUGCACUGAGAUGCCCAAUUCCAUGUAAAGUUCCUUCGACGAGUCGAGUUGUUUGGGAAUGCAGCUCUAAGUGGGUGGUAAAUUCCAUCUAAAGCUAAAUAUUGGCGAGAGACCGAUAGCGAACAAGUACUGUGAAGGAAAGAUGAAAAGAACUUUGAAAAGAGAGUGAAAAAGUACGUGAAAUUGUUGAAAGGGAAGGGCUUGAGAUCAGACUUGGAAUUUUCCAGCAAUGGAGCUUUCCGGGCCAGCAUCAGUUUGGAUGGCAGGAUAAUUGCGUAGGAAAGUGGCACCACCUCGGUGGUGUGUUAUAGCCUGCGUCGAUACUGCCUAUCUAGACUGAGGACUGCGUCUUUGACUAGGAUGCUGGCAUAAUGAUCUUAAGCC